ACUUAUACCGUGAACUGCGAAUGGCUCAUUAAAUCAGUUAUCGUUUAUUUGAUAGUACCUUACUACUUGGAUAACCGUGGUAAUUCUAGAGCUAAUACAUGCUAAAAACCCCAACUUCGGGAGGGGUGUAUUUAUUAGAUAAAAAACCAAUGCCCUUCGGGGCUCCUUGGUGAAUCAUAAUAACUUAACGGAUCGCAUGGCCUUGCGCCGGCGACGGUUCAUUCAAAUUUCUGCCCUAUCAACUUUCGAUUGUAGGGUAUUGGCCUACAAUGGUAUCAACGGGUAACGGGGAAUUAGGGUUCGAUUCCGGAGAGGGAGCCUGAGAAACGGCUACCACAUCCAAGGAAGGCAGCAGGCGCGCAAAUUACCCAAUCCCGACGCGGGGAGGUAGUGACAAUAAAUACUGAUACAGGGCUCUUUUGGGUCUUGUAAUUGGAAUGAGUACAAUUUAAAUCCCUUAACGAGGAACAAUUGGAGGGCAAGUCUGGUGCCAGCAGCCGCGGUAAUUCCAGCUCCAAUAGCGUAUAUUAAAGUUGUUGCAGUUAAAAAGCUCGUAGUUGAACCUUGGGCCUGGCUGGCCGGUCCGCCUCACCGCGUGCACUGGUCCGGCCGGGCCUUUCCUUCUGGAGAGCCGCAUGCCCUUCACUGGGUGUGUCGGGGAACCAGGACUUUUACUUUGAAAAAAUUAGAGUGUUCAAAGCAGGCCUUUGCUCGAAUACAUUAGCAUGGAAUAAUAGAAUAGGACGUGCGGUCCUAUUUUGUUGGUUUCUAGGACCGCCGUAAUGAUUAAUAGGGAUAGUCGGGGGCAUCAGUAUUCAAUUGUCAGAGGUGAAAUUCUUGGAUUUAUUGAAGACUAACUACUGCGAAAGCAUUUGCCAAGGAUGUUUUCAUUAAUCAGUGAACGAAAGUUAGGGGAUCGAAGACGAUCAGAUACCGUCGUAGUCUUAACCGUAAACUAUGCCGACUAGGGAUCGGGCGAUGUUAUUAUUUUGACUCGCUCGGCACCUUACGAGAAAUCAAAGUUU
rnacentral:rRNA from 1 species